GUCGGUGCGGCUGGACCUUCCUCUGGCCUCCUGCUGUGAUGUUGCGCUGCUCUCUCUGCCUUCACUCAGUCCUAUAAUCGUCCGUUUGCGCACAGCGCGGAGGAGGAGGAGGAGGAGGAGGAGGAGCGUUCAGGACACAGGGACCGGUCAGAAGGGCGGACAUGGCGGCACACACACUCAGUACAGCUGUACUAUGAGUCAGCUCUGAUAAAAGUUUGAUUCUUCUUGAAAACACGGAGGAGGGCUCUUCCUCUCUGCGCGUGGACGCGGUCUGUCCGGUGCGUAAAAGUGGAACUCUAAAGUUUUUUCCGGCAGAACUCCAGACCGGGUCGGCUGUUUCAGAGUCAUGAAGGUAUGUCGAGAGAAGAAAGAGUUAAUCUGACUUCUAAUCUGACCCAGUUUAUGUCCUCUCCUCACAACAGUGUUGGUUCAAAACCAGGUUCGCCUCCCUCACAUCUCCGGGCAUCGUGGAUAAAUAAACGCACCAACAAGAGGAGGACCCGGACUGAUCCUCUCAGCUCUUCAGACUAUUAUUAGACCUACAGUUAUUCUGAGGGGCUUUAUGAGAGUCAGUGUUUCACAGAGAUGUCAGUCUCAUCAUGUCUAAUCAUUAAUAUGGUUUUAUUAAGAGUCUGCAGGAUUAUGGAGGAGUGGUCGGUCCUCUCUCAGUCCAGCUCCUCUGUUCUCUGGAUGUCUCUCUGCUGAUGUCCUCGGACUCUCUAGACUGUUAACGUUCCUCUUCCUGUUUGCUCUCAGUCUCAUGUCACAUUUUAUCUCUAAAGAACCAAAAAAUACAAGUUUAUUUCAGAUCUCAAACUUCUGUGUCAGUCUUUACGGGAAAAUCCUCUGAUGUCUGUGCGCACAGAGCGGCCUGAUUCACUCCCACCGGACAGGAGUGGAGCCGAAGCUGGGGUCUUUAUACCGCUGCUGAUUGGAUGAGUUGCAGGUGUGUGUACGCAAUUAGCCAGGUGCCUGUUAGCUGAGGCCACGCCCCCUUAAAAAACAGACAGACAGGAGGGAGGAAGCAGAGAGAUCAGAUACAAGAGUUAAAGCUUGAGUUGUUCUUUACUCUGGUCCUGUGGGGGGUGUGAGCUGCAGUAGCAGAUUUCUGACACUUGUGGGCAGUGUUGCUGCAGGUUUGAACUUUAACUCUCACUCAGGAGAAAAGAAACAAAAUCCAACAUUAGGAAAGGUUGACAAUGUGACCAAGGUUCAAAUAACAAAAAUAAAAUCAAAUGAAAAAGUGAGGCCAAAAUCAGACUAAGACCUUUAUGUUGACAGAAUCUCCUCAUGAGAACCAGUGCAGUAAAGAUGGAGCCUGAGAGGACGGAAACAGAGGAACCAGGAGACAACAGGGACUCGAGGAGGGACGGAUGAGUUUGGA